AUUGAACGCUGGCGGCAGGCCUAACACAUGCAAGUCGAGCGGUAACAGAGAUAGCUUGCUAUCUGCUGACGAGCGGCGGACGGGUGCGUAACGCGUAGGAAUUUGCCCGAUAGAGGGGGAUAGCCCGGAGAAAUACCGGAUUAACACCGCAUACCUUCUAAGGAAGAAAGCAGGGGAGUCUUCGGACCUUGCACUAUCGGAUGAGCCUGCGUCGGAUUAGCUAGUUGGUAGGGUAAAUGCCUACCAAGGCGACGACCCGUAGCUGGUCUGAGAGGAUGAUCAGCCACACUGGGACUGAGACACGGCCCAGACUCCUACAGGAGGCAGCAGUGGGGAAUAUUGCACAAUGGGCGCAAACCUGAUGCAGCCAUGCCGCGUGUGUGAAGAAGGCCCUAGGGUUGUAAAGCACUUUCAGCGAGGAGGAA
rnacentral:rRNA from 1 species